AGUGAACGCUGGCGGCGUGCCUAACACAUGCAAGUCGAACGAUGAUUGGAGAGCUUGCUCUUCAUGAUUAGUGGCGCACGGGUGAGUAACGCAUAGGUAAUGUGCCCCUUAGUCUGGGAUAGCCACUGGAAACGGUGAUUAAUACUAGAUACUCCUUCUCAUUAUAAGAUGAGUCGGGAAAGUUUUUCGCUAAGGGAUCAGCCUAUGUCCUAUCAGCUAGUUGGUGAGGUAACGGCUCACCAAGGCAAUGACGGGUAUCUGGUUUGAGAGGAUGAUCAGACACACUGGAACUGAGACACGGUCCAGACUCCUACGGGAGGCAGCAGUGAGGAAUAUUGCACAAUGGAGGAAACUCUGAUGCAGCAACGCCGCGUGGAGGAUGACGCAUUUCGGUGUGUAAACUCCUUUUAAGAGGGAAGAUUAUGACGGUACCUCUUGAAUAAGCACCGGCU
rnacentral:rRNA from 1 species